AAAUGGUAUAGUCUAGUGGCCAGGAUGUAGGGCUGCUACUCCGGCAGUCAGGGUUCGAGUCCCUGACCAUUCG